rnacentral:rRNA from 1 species
CGCUAGCUCUUUGCUUAACACAUGCAAGUCGAGGGGCAGCAUGAAGUCUUCUUGCAAACUUUGAUGGCGACCGGCGCACGGGUGAGUAACACGUAUCCAACCUGCCUUCCACUCGGGAAUAGCCUUUCGAAAGAAAGAUUAAUGUCCGAUGGUACUGGUUUCUCGCAUGAGAGACUUUUUAAAGAAUUUCGGUGGAAGAUGGGGAUGCGUUCCAUUAGGCAGUUGGCGGGGUAACGGCCCACCAAACCGACGAUGGAUAGGGGUUCUGAGAGGAAGGUCCCCCACAUUGGAACUGAGACACGGUCCAAACUCCUACGGGAGGCAGCAGUGAGGAAUAUUGGUCAAUGGACGAGAGUCUGAACCAGCCAAGUGGCGUGAAGGAUGACUGCCCUAUGGGUUGUAAACUUCUUUUAUACGGGAAUAAAGUGAAGCACGUGUGCUUUUUUGUAUGUACCGUAUGAAUAAGGAUCGGCUAACUCCGUGCCAGCAGCCGCGGUAAUACGGAGGAUUCGAGCGUUAUCCGGAUUUAUUGGGUUUAAAGGGAGCGUAGGCGGAAGUUUAAGUCAGUUGUGAAAGUUUGCGGCUCAACCGUAAAAUUGCAGUUGAUACUGGAUUUCUUGAGUGCGGUAUAGGUAGGCGGAAUUCGUGGUGUAGCGGUGAAAUGCUUAGAUAUCACGAAGAACUCCGAUUG